AAGUUCUGGUAGCAGUUGUUGACAAUGAACAUUAAUAUGUCUUUUUGUAUGACUUUCUGGGUGGAUGCUUUGAGAGAAUAGAACUCAAUGGAGAGCUAAGAGGUUUUGAACAUCUCCUGUUGAACAAUUAUGCAGAGACCGAUCUCAGCUUACAAGACUUUGGUACUAUUGUUAAUCCUGACCAUCUGGGUGCUUGAUGAUAAAAUAUUCUCUAGAUAGAGACAACCUGUGUGCGUUACCUUCAAUAAUAGAGGAUGAUGUAUAUCUGUUGAACGAGGUUUAGAUAUUCAUGGAUAGGAUACUUGCAGACGAUGACAUGACACCAAGAAUUAUUCAUCUCUGUCUCUUGAAUAUAUAUCAUUCAUUGUAUCUGAAGUUGACUUCUGAUGUAUAGAUCGAUCAUAACUGA
rnacentral:lncRNA from 1 species